GGGCAUUAGAGUACUAAUGCUAAGUGACUAUACAUAUUUAUUCCCUUGCUUUCUAUCUGUGCCCUUCUGUUCCUUUUAAUGAAUGUAGGUAACGAAUAUGGGUUAAUCUAUCCAGAUAUCGCCAUGUCUGACGUGGCACUCAUGGGAUUAUUCAUUAACAAAUGAAUUUGCCAAGGUAAAAUUUAGAUUAUAAACUACAGAAGUACCUUUCUAUAUUUACUAUCCUCUGUGAUUUACCAAGUUAUCCCAGUUGAUCUGAGUCAUCCUGAGUGGCACUCAAAGGCCCAUUGCCAAAAACACACACACACAAAAAUACACACCGCCAGACACACACUGAGUCGCAGACUCACACUUGUACAAAAAUGGUAAUGUACUAGGGAGUUUGAAUUAGAAUUAUCAAAACAUGCGCUUUUUACAAAUAGUUCUGGAAAGGUCCUUUAUGUUUUUUCAAAAUUAGAUUUAGAAUAAUUCUAAAAGUUCAGCUGUUUAUUAUUUUGUGUAUAAUACAGUUAUGUUUUGUGAAAUAUUAUGCAGGUGUUGAUCAAAACUGAAAUCUGACUGCCAUUUCAGUUUCAAACUUUUUUUUUCUAUUGUGAUGAAUCAAUCUGAUAAAUUCAGUGUAAUGUAGACAAAAGGUAUUUUGAAUUGUACAAGUUAAAGGUUCUAUACUUGAUGUUUUGCAUGUCAUUUGUGGAAAAGAAAGUUACACAACACAAGAAAUGAAAAAAUAAACUAAUUGAAAAAUGCUCUUCUCCAAUUGCUCUAGGUGUUUAACCCCUUAAGGACCAAACUUCUGGAAUAAAAGGGAAUCAUGACAUGUCACACGUCAUGUGUCCUUAAGGGGUUAAGCUGAUAGCUAGUUCAAUACCGGAGAUAACUAGCUCGAUGUGUCUUGUUUUGGGAAGCUUACAUUACUGGGCUAUGUGGGGUUGGACCACUAGAACUCUGGUCGGGUAGCAUUCUGUAAAUUCGACAGAAGAUUUAACUUUGGAUUGGAUAAUUCUGUCUAGUGUGUUGAUAUAUGGUUGACAGGUAAGAGCAUUUCCUCUUUAAGAUACUUUAUUUUUUUUAAUUUUUAUUCCUUAUUUUUGGUUGUGCAAAAGAUUGACAAGAAAUGCAUACACUGUCAUAACAGCACAUAGAAUCAUAUCAACAGGGGUAAAUGCAUGGCAAGAACUCUACAUUUUUUGUUUUGUUAGUCAGGCUUAUUACAUCAGUAAUGGUAGCCAUAUCAUGCUACGUAAACUAUAU